UGUGAGAUUGCUGAGUCCUCGUGACUCACAGAUACUUCCAAACAGUUGGAGGUGCCGAUGAGACCAGUGCAGAUGACGCUACUGAGCUCAAGUGGGAGCUCGAUGAAGAUCUUGUCCGUUGUGUUGUUUCUUUUCUUGUUGAUCAGUAGUGGAGCCCAGUUGGGACGAUCAGGGAUCUAGCAGUUGGGUUGUCUUCUUCUCUUUUGGUUCUGUAGUCGGACCUAUGUGUGUAUCUCUGAAUGAUGUAUGUUUUAUUUAUGUAUUGUGUGAAGUGGCGAUUGUAAGCCAACUCUUUAUCCCAUUCUUGUUCAUUACAUGGGAUUGUGUGAAGAUGACCCUUCUUGCGACAAAACCACAAUGUGGUUAUGCCUCUAAAUCGUGCCUCGACACGUGGGAGAUUUAGCCGCAUCGUGGGCGUUACAAUUUGGUAAUCAGAGCCAUCCCCCACUUAGGAGCCCCCUGCUUGAUCGAAUCGCUGGCGUUGUUGAGUCUAGAACAAAAAAAUGUUUUGAGUCUUAGGAUUAUAUAUAUCGGAGAGUAGGAUUCUUUUUACUCCUCAGUCCCUUCGUCGCUCUGGUGAGGUCUCCUGACGUAGAAGUUUUGACUAUUCUCUCCUGAAAUUUCACAAAAAAAAAUUUUUACGAUCACGCGAGUAUCUUGGAAUCGUUCCGAUGGUUUUGUGACGAGAACAUUGUUCUUGGUGCCUCCUGUCUUUUAGGGGUUGUGGCAGUGUCCCGGGGAGUUGAGCUCCGAGGUGUUGUCGUCACAAUUUUAUCGUUGCAGUUCUGGAAUACCUGAGUUUCGCCGACAUCGAAAUCUCUUUUAUGCAGUUGUUGGUGAGAUCACCUCGACGCCACCCAGUACUGGGGCGGGAGUUCGGGAGUAUUGCCAUAACUUGUAUAACGGAUGCUUUUCGAAGGUUGAGGUAAACGAUUUCCGGAGUUUUCUUGGUUAUGUGUUGACGAAUGGAUACAGCUGGAUCUAGGUAUUGUUUAGUUUGGGUGAUAUAUUUUUUGUCCCCUGUAUCCCCUACACCAGAUUGCAUAACCAGAAAGUUUCGGGAGUUUAUAAGUGGGAAUUCAAGUAGCCUUAGGAUAUCUUUCCGACAGAUGCAUGAUAUGAGAUUGGGGUUCGACGUCUAGUGGUCCGCCUGUACACGGUUGAUUUUAGAGUGGUCUCGUAGUGUCUUAAAGACUCCUUGGCUAUAACGACUCGGGGACGCUUCGUAUGUCAUGUGCACUGCCUUGUACAUGAUGGUGUUGUACGAUCGAGCCCGUGUGGGCCCCACCACGAAAAUUUCGGACGGAAUCUCUAUCAUAUGUUUGUUCCGGCUUAUUCUGCAAGCCAAAUCCUUUGUUUUGUUUUAUUUGUGGUAUUCGAGUUGCUUCUAUGACAAAUGUUGAAUCCAUACCUUUCCUAAACGGUGUUCUCAUAUUUCUAUGUGGAUGAUAAUCAUUCUUGAUCAUCGAGGUCGUCAUGUUAAUUCUUUUUCCAACCGGUGUGCUUCUCUUCAAGUGAAUCCAUCAUUCUCCCCAUCCGCAAGAUCAACUCUAAGUUUUUUUUUCUCAACGGUGUUUAUUCCAUCUGCCCCAAGUUGCCUUUGUUUUUCCCGCCCUCCCACCCUUCUUCCUUCAAGGAAUCAGAUUGCUUAAUCUAGUAUCCAUUUUUAUUCACGUGAAGUACCUUCAUUCUUUUCAAUCAAUGUUCUUAUCCGGUGAUUUUCCAUGAAGAUGCUCACGAAACUUCAAGUUCAUCAUUCUUCAUUCUUGUAUUCUUUUCCGGUGGAUUCAAUUCAAGCUUUCGGUGUUGAUCAUAUUCCCUUCCUCGUUUCAAGUGUUUUCGUAUGUUGGUUCAUCUCUUAAUCAUUCCCCGUUUGCUAUUCAAUUGUUCCGGAGUGCUGAAGUUAUCCCAGAGGAUUCAAGUUCCCAUUCUCAAUUCACUCAAGUUCUUUUGAGGAUGCUAUCUCAUUCAAGCCAUUCAAUUCAACUAGCGCAAUCUCUCUUUUAAAUCAUUUCAACGGUGUUUCUCUUGAGUGGGCCCUAACCCACAGGUCUUUUCCUAGGAUCUUACCUGACUCUUCUAAUUUUUCUUGAGUUAUUCUCAAAUUCAUUGCAAAGUUUGACGUAAGAAUGAAUUAUCAUCAGUCAAUUGUCUUUCUCCAAGAUCUUUCAAAUUCUUUUCAUCGUUGGUCCAACAUUUCUAAAUUUCAUUCCGGAGUGCCUCAACAAUUCAUGGUGGUGUUUCUCAUCGUCAUUCUCAAUAUUUGAAGACCGAAGAAGAAUUUCUCCUAAAUCUUGGUCCGUUCUCUUGAAGAUUCAUGGUUCUAGCUUAUGCCAUCCUCUCAUAAUUGUUUUCGAUUGUGAGAAUUCUUCUCAUACCCAUCCGGAGCAUUUCAUAAGUUGUUUUCGCUUCUUGAUCAUCCAAAGGCCAUCAUUUCAGAAGAUUUCUUCGUUUUCAGCUUUCAGCUCUCGUUCUCGAAUUCUUCCGGUGCAUCGUUCAAAUAUCCUCUAAUCAGUUCACGAUCUCUUCGUUCUCGUGUAUCUAAAUUUUGUCAAGUAUCUUCAUUCAUUUUCUAAUUCUUUCCGUUGAAUUGUGCCUUUGCUACUUUCAUUUUCAAUUCUUACGGUGGUUCGUUCAAGAUUUCAAUUCCUUCGUUAUCAUAUCAAUUUAUUCGUUGUUUCAAUCCUACCGGGGGUUCGUUGAAGACUUUUCUCAAGUUUGCGCAAUAUCUAUGUUAAUCCUUUCUACGAGAAUAAGUAGUAUGCAAGAUCCGUUGCUUGUCAUCAAUUUAAAUUGGUGAUGGAUACGCAUAACGUAAUUCUUAUUCUUGUUUCAUCCAAGUGUUUAAUCCUUUCUUUUGGAGUUCGUUCAUGAUAUCAAAUUCUCGGUUCCAAGUUGUUCUUCUUUUCUUUCCGGAGUUUCAAGUUAUUUCAAUUAUAUCAUUUCAAAGCUUCAUCUAAUCAUUGCAAGGCUUCUCCCGGAGUUCUUUUCAAUUUUCCCUUUCGUUUGAUCAUUCUUUUAUUAUCGGAGUUCUUCAUGGAGGCUCUACAUGGUGGUUCGUCAAGGAUUCCUUUCAUUUUUCAAUUGUUCUUCAAGAUUUCUCUUGAAGUUAUGAUCCGUCAAGCUAUACUCUAAAAUAAAUAUGGUGUUCAACACAUGUCUUGUUUUGAGGAGUUCAAGUAUUCUUCUUCUUGCAUUCCAAAGUGCAAUUCUUUCUACCUUAUCUUUUGAGGUGGUGUUAUGUCAUUCUUGAUAAUUUCCCUUCGCGUUUCAUGAUUCACAAGUUUUCAAGGGUGACAUAUUUAAAUUCCAUCAUGUUCUGUUUCGUUCAAGAGAUCUUUUCAACCAAUCAAUCUUUUUGUUGGAGUUAUAUUGGGUUAUAAUUCACCUAAAGCCUUCCCUAAGGAAUGUAGCUAUUUGUGGUGGUUAUCAAUGAUCCAAAUUUUCUCCUUCUCGUCUCAGUGUAGAAGUUUUCAUCUCCUUGUUGAUAUCAAUCCAAUCAUUUGUUUCCGUUAGUGGCGGGUUGUCACCUCAUAAUUUUGAGAAGUUUUCCAUAAGCCCACUACAAGCUUGUUCUUUUCGUUGUUGGUUUUCCAACAACUCCGUUCUAACCUUCUUGGAAGGAUGCUUCCCAAAUUCAAUUGUGGUGGAAGUUAUCAUUUUAUUCUCCGUUAUCUUAUUCCGACGAUCUAUCUUCUAUUCGUUCGUCCCAAAGGCAUUGUGAUGUUGCUCUCUUCGACCAAUCAUCUUGUUUUGUCAAGAUCAUGUAAUUUUUCCUUUCUUAACCGUUUAGCCGGAGUGUCGUGUUUUCAUUCGAGUUUUCUCAUCUUAUCAAGUUUCGUCUUCUUCCUCAACCGGAGUGCGGUCUGAAAUCUUUCUUUUCCCUUGUGCCAUUCUUUCAUUAGUACCGGAGGCAAUGUGUUGUUAAUUUCAUCGAGUAUCCUCUCAUCUUGUCAAGAUCAUGUUCAAUUCCUUCCAUUUACAGUCGGAGUGCUGCCCAAAUUAUAUCAUUCUUAUUCCUUCCUAUCUUGUAUUAACCGGAGUGGUUUAAAUAUCCAUCGUGUCAUUUAACCUCAAGGUUCACAUGGUGUUCCUUGUUUCUCUUUUCUACCGGUGUGCUUUCAUAUUCCUUUUGAUCCGUUAAGCACUUGUUUAUGUCCUUCAACCUACAAGGUUCUUGUAAUGGUCCUUGUUCCUCUUGCUGAACGGAGUGUUUUAAAUUUUGUUCACCUCCGUCGUGUCAUUUCUUUAAGAUUUGCAACCUCUCAAGGUUCUUUGGUUUCACUCGUUUGUCGAAGAAGCAACUUAGUUUUACCUCUUCUCUUCCUCUCCCGAUUUCUCCGGUGCCAUCCUAGAUCUCGGGACGAGAUCCUCUUGUAGUGGUGGAGUGUUGUAACGCCCCGAGACAGACGCUUCAGAAGACUUCCUUAUUUUCGUGAUCGCCGCGUGUUUCUUUUGGUGCUUGCUCUUUUAUUUUUGCAUUGCAUCAUGUCAUCAUGCCAUCGUGUCAUUAAUCCUUGCAUCAAAACUCAACUAAAUAAAUUGCAUGGAUCUUCGAUCCAUUUAAAUCGAGGGAAAUGCACAUGGUGAUUUCUCUUUAUAACAUAUAUCCUCCCAAUAUUAUUAGGGAGCUAUUUUAAAAAUAUUCGAUUAUUUGGAGUUCACCUUAACACACGUGCAGAAUUAAUCCUAUGCCUUUUCUGCUUUGAGUCGAUCUCUCUAACCUUGCCAAUUCUUUUCCCUCUUUUCGAGGCCCUUCCUAAAUGUUCAACAUGUUGGACACUUUGUAAUCCUACUCCUUCUUCUCAUCUUCUUUUCUGUUUCAUCUUGCCCUUUCCAUCUAAAACAUCAUCUAGUGCAACACCCCAUCACAAGCGUCUUCCUUUCAAUUCUCACCCAUUUAUUGCAAGUGGUAUUUUUUUCUGUCCCAGUAAAAUGUUCACUUACUUUAUGUAAAUCUUAAACCAUGCCAACUACCUCUUUGCCAAAUUUCAUCUCUUUUAAAGUUGUUUUGGUUGGGCUAAGAAUUUACUCAAGUUUGAAUCAAAUUCAAACUUGUUUAAAUUUUCUGUCUCUAAAAGUUGACAAUCCUAUUUUAUUAAAUCUUGCAUGUUCCCAGAAGCAUGAGGAUAUUCUUACAUCUUCCAAAUUCUUUCCCUAACACUAUCUUUCUUUUUCUUCUCUCUAGUUCUUUUCUGCUAAAAGAAAUAAGAGAGAGAAGAGAGAGACCCCAGCCGGCCCAGCUGGGCCUCCCAACAGCAGCCGGCCCACCUAAGCCUAACCCUAGACGCCAGAGACCGAGCCCAUCCCUCCUCUCGUUCUCUCUCGAUCCAUUUCCCCUCUGCCUCUCGUCCUCCCUCAGCGCCGCCGCGCCUCCUGCCACUCCACCUCCGACCCCACCGGAGCGGCCAACUCCAGCGGCCUCUCUUUCGCCCCGCUGAUCCUCUGCCUCAACUCCGGCCGGAUCGACUCAGUUCCCCGCCGCCUCGCCAAGUCCAUGGAGCCGCCUCCCCGUGCUCCUUCUCCUCGCCUUGUCGUUCGAGGACCAGCGCCGCCGCCGGCGACCACGAGGCGGGAGACCGCCAUGGAUCACCGCCCGAAGCUCUCGUUCCGCCGCCUGCUCUGCCUGGAUCCGGCGAGUCCUUGCGCCUGCUCUGCUCCGCCCCCUCCUGUGCUCCACCUCCGUCGCGCCAAGGCCGCUGUGACCAGGAGCGCUGCUGCCCGUCUUCGUUGCCACCACAGGAGCCCCAAGCGCCAUGGCCUGGGCUCGGCCUCGAGAUCCUCAGCGCCGCCGUGGCUGCUGCUUGCUCCGUCGACCCAACCGCAAGUUCCAGCCGCCACCAUCUUCUUCCAGGAACGCCAAGUCCGUUUUCAAACGCCUCUGCACCCCCUGCUUCUCCAUGGGUUUUGUUCGUCGUCGCUGUCACCCGAGGCCCUUGUGUUGCUUUGUUUGGACCGUCAAGAUUGACAAGAUCGCCAAGGACCAUACCCGGACCGCCAAGCAUCUUCUCUGUGAAUUUUGCCAAGUACCACAACAACGCGUCAAGUACCUCUACCGCCGUCUACGGAAACACCAAGUACCCCUACGCGCGAAGACGCCAAGACCGUUUCGGGAUUCACGUGUACCACUACCGCCGUCAAGUUCGACUACCUUCGUGUACCACUACUUCCCUCGGCGACCCGUGAACAACUACUCCCACUACCGUCGAACCCGAGCCACUCCGAAAAUGCACGCUUCGAAGGUAUAACCGCCGAGACGACGCCCGUGAACGGAUGAUUGUGAUGUAUGAGUUGCACGUGUUCGAACCAUGUCCAAAUUGGUCCUUGCACGUUCCUCGUUUGCCAUGCCGCCGUUCCGUGGGAACCCGGUAACCGGGACCACCCCACCAUUCUCUUGCGUGUUUCACACAUCCGCACAAUUCUCCUUGUGCCGGUACCUCCGUGAGCUACCGGAACCGAUAUGUUGCCAUGGCACCAUUUUCGGAUUCGUUGCCGUGGCACCCCUUCCUUCCGCCAUGGUGACCAAAUGCUUCAUAACAUGCUCUUGUCCACGUUUUAUAAAAUUGAUUAAAACUUGCAUUGUCAUCCGCAUCAUGAUAACAACAUUUAAAAUGUCUACAAUUGAUGUUUGCAUUAAAUUGCUAAAUGUCAUGAGGAUUUUCCGGAAAUUGUUGUUUAUUGUUCCGGCCUCAUUUAAAAUUGCUUAAAUAGGUAGUUUCCUCAUGCUUUACCUCUUGCCAUGCUAAUCAAAAUUUAAUAUUGUUCGGUACAUGACCGAGAGAGAACUAAAUAACUGAUGUGGUGUUUAGUCAAUAUGCAACUCGUUGCAUAUUGAACUCCACUUAAUUUGUAGUGUUGUUUGUUGCACUUUGCCAUGCCAUACCUCAUUUAAACCGGACAUGCAUCAUACUUGAUUGUGCAUCAUGCCAUGUUUAUGAUUGUGUGUUUACCGUGUUGUUUGCUUCUUUCCGGGUUGCUUCUCUCGUUAGCUUCGGUUUCUUUCCGGAGUUGUGAGGAUUCGUUCGACUACGUCCGCUUGUCUUCUUCAUGGACUCGUUCUUCUUCCUUGCGGGAUCUCACUUCUAUCUUUGCUUUGCUAGUUGCUCGUUCUAUUGCCAUGCUGCGCUACCUACCACUUGCUAUUUCAUGCCUCCCAUAUUGCCAUGAACCUCUAACCUUUGUCACCCUUCCUAGCAAACCCUUGUUUGGCUAUGUUACCGCUUUUGCUCAGCCCCUCUUAUAGCAUUGCUAGAUGCAGGUGAAGAUGAAGAUUGCUCCAUGUUGGCUUAUGUUUAUGUUGGGAUAUCACAAUAGCUCUUAUUUAAUUAAUGCACCUAUAUACUUGGUAAAGGGUGGAAGGCUCGGCCUUAUGCCUGGUGUUCUGUCCCACUCUUGCCGCCCUAGUUUCUGUCUUACUGGUGUUAUGUUCCUUGAUUUUGCGUUCCUUACGCAGUUGGGUGAUUUAUGGGACCCCCUUGACAGUUCGCUUUGAAUAAAACUCCUCCAGCAAGGCCCAACCUUGGUUUUACCAUUUGCUACCACCUAUCCCCUUUUCCCUUGGGUUCUGCAGACUCAAGGGUCAUCUUUAUUUUAGACCCCCCCGGGCCAGUGCUCCUUCGAGUGUUUGUCCGAACCGAGCAGCCUGCGGGGCCACCUCAGGGAAACUCGAGGUCUGGUUUUACUCGUAGCUUGACUUAUCCGGUGUGCCCUGAGAACGAGAUAUGUGCAGCUCCUAUCGGGAUUUGCCGGCACAUUCGGGCGGCUUUGCUGGUUUUGUUUUACCAUUGUCGAAAUGUCUUGUAACCGGGAUUCCGAGACUGAUCGGGUCUUCCCGGGAGAAGGUUUAUCCUUCAUUGACCGUGAGAGCUUAUAAUGGGCUAAGUUGGGACACCCCUGCAGGGUUUAAACUUUCGAGAGCCGUCCCGCGGUUAUGUGGCAGAUGGGAAUUUGUUAAUAUCCGGUAGUAGAUAACUUGACACUUGACCUUAUUAAAAACGCAUCAACCGCGUGUGUAGCUGUGAUGGUCUCUUCUUGGCGGAGUCCGGGAAGUGAACACGGUUUCUGGGUUAUGUUUGACGUAAGUAGGAGUUCAGGAUCACUUCUUGAUCAUUGCUAGUUCACCACCGUUCCGUUGCUUCUCUUCUCGCUCUCCUUUGCGUAUGUUAGCCACCAUAUAUGCUUAGUCGCUGCUGCAACCUCACCACCUUCCCCUUUCCUACCCUUAAGCUUAAAUAGUCUUGAUCUCGCGGGUGUGAGAUUGCUGAGUCCUCGUGACUCACAGAUUCUUCCAAAUAGUUGCAGGUGCCGUUGAGACCAGUGCAGAUGACGCUACUGAGCUCAAGUGGGAGCUCGAUGAAGAUCUUGUCCGUUGUGUUGUUUCUUUUCUUGUUGAUCAGUAGUGGAGCCCAGUUGGGACGAUCAGGGAUCUAGCAGUUGGGUUGUCUUCUUCUCUUUUGGUUCCGUAGUCGGACCUAUGUGUGUAUCUCUGAAUGAUGUAUGUUUUAUUUAUGUAUUGUGUGAAGUGGCGAUUGUAAGCCAACUCUUUAUCCCAUUCUUGUUCAUUACA
rnacentral:lncRNA from 1 species